CUGCAGCCAGUUAAGCUGAUUGUGCUCUUUCCCCAUGGGGGCCCAGUGCACAAUGGCUGCAAACAGGAACCUCCUUGGUAGUAUAUGCAGCCUGUUGCCCUAAGGAUUGCCCUAAGGAACCUUGGAGACAGCC
ensembl:snoRNA SNORA70 Small nucleolar RNA SNORA70